AUCUGGAAGAGUUUAUAAGCCCAAAAGGUAAAGCCCCAUUAAUCAGAAAGGCAGAAGCUAUAUAUCGAGUCAGACAAUACUUCCUGAUAAGAGUAAGAUGAAGUCAAGUCUCUGCCAGAUUCAAGUGGCCACACAGCUCACAAGCAGCCACAGUGAAGGAAACCACAUAUAAACACAGUGCCUUUUCAAAUGGAUUUUAGUUGCCUAGAGCUUCCCAGGCCAUCAGAAGGCAGCCCGCCUCUUAUUUUCUCCACAGUCCUCAGUUGGAUAGAUGCUUUCCCUGAAGAUCUAAGGAUAUAACCAGCUUCAUCCAGCAGACACAUCAGAAUAGAUGUAAAGAGUACCAUACUGAUGAGGUUUCAAAACUCAACAAUUGCAGUGGCAUGCUUUACUCUUCUAACUUUUGCUAAAUUUUCUAUGGGAAAAUUACAAAAAAGGGGACUGAUAGCUAACCUCGACUAUGGGCAUGCACUAUAUCACACAUGCAUGACAUUCAACCCACUCAACUCUAAGAGGUAGGUCUUAUUACUAUCAUCUCUGUUUUAUAAAUGAGGAAACAGAAGCUUAUA
rnacentral:lncRNA from 10 species